UACGUAGGGAGCAAGCGUUGUUCGGAAUCAUUGGGCGUAAAGAGCGCGUAGGUGGUUUGUUAAGUCUGGUGUGAAAGCCCAGAGCUCAACUCUGGAACUGCAUCAGAAACUGCCAAACUUGAGUGUGGGAGAGGAGAGUGGAAUUCCCAGUGUAGAGGUGAAAUUCGUAGAUAUUGGGAGGAACACCGGUGGCGAAGGCGGCUCUCUGGACCACAACUGACACUGAGGCGCGAAAGCUAGGGGAGCGAACGGGAUUAGAUACCCCCGUA
rnacentral:rRNA from 1 species